rnacentral:rRNA from 1 species
GUGGAUGAGGCAUGCAAGUCGAACGGAUUAAGAUAGCUUGCUAUUUUGAUUAGUGGCGGAAGGGUUAGGAAUACAUGGGUAAUCUGCCUUUAACUUGGGAAUAACGGUUGGAAACGACCGCUAAUACCGAAUGUGGUGGGGCGCGGCAUCGCGCCUUCAUUAAAGCGGGGGAUCGUAAGACCUCGCGGUUAAAGAAGAGCCCAUGCGAUAUCAGCUAGUUGGUGAGGUAAUGGCUCACCAAGGCUAAGACGUCUAGGCGGAUUGAGAGAUUG